rnacentral:rRNA from 1 species
GAAUAUUGGACAAUGGGCGCAAGCCUGAUCCAGCCAUGCCGCGUGCAGGAUGACGGUCCUAUGGAUUGUAAACUGCUUUUAUACGAGAAGAAACACUGCUUCGUGAAGCAGCUUGACGGUAUCGUAAGAAUAAGGAUCGGCUAACUCCGUGCCAGCAGCCGCGGUAAUACGGAGGAUCCAAGCGUUAUCCGGAAUCAUUGGGUUUAAAGGGUCCGUAGGCGGUUUAAUAAGUCAGUGGUGAAAGCCCAUCGCUCAACGGUGGAACGGCCAUUGAUACUGUUAAACUUGAAUUAUAGGAAGUAACUAGAAUAUGUAGUGUAGCGGUGAAAUGCUUAGAGAUUACAUGGAAUACCAAUUGCGAAGGCAGGUUACUACUAAUGGAUUGACGCUGAUGGACGAAAGCGUGGGUAGCGAACAGGAUUAGAUACCCUGGUAGUCCACGCCGUAAACGAUGGAUACUAGCUGUUGGAAGCAAUUUCAGUGGCUAAGCGAAAGUGAUAAGUAUCCCACCUGGGGAGUACGUUCGCAAGAAUGAAACUCAAAGGAAUUGACGGGGGCCCGCACAAGCGGUGGAGCAUGUGGUUUAAUUCGAUGAUACGCGAGGAACCUUACCAAGGCUUAAAUGUAGUUUGACCGGUUUGGAAACAGAUCUUUCGCAAGACAAAUUACAAGGUGCUGCAUGGUUGUCGUCAGCUCGUGCCGUGAGGUGUCAGGUUAAGUCCUAUAACGAGCGCAACCCCUGUUGUUAGUUGCCAGCGAGUCAUGUCGGGAACUCUAACAAGACUGCCAGUGCAAACUGUGAGGAAGGUGGGGAUGACGUCAAAUCAUCACGGCCCUUACGCCUUGGGCUACACACGUGCUACAAUGGCCGGUACAGAGAGCAGCCACUGGGCGACCAGGAGCGAAUCUAUAAAACCGGUCACAGUUCGGAUCGGAGUCUGCAACUCGA